UUCGCGCAGCCGCGUAAUACCGAAGGGUGCAAGCGUUAAUCGGAAUUACUGGGCGUAAAGCGCACGCGGGCGGUCUGUCAAGUCGGAUGUGAAAUCCCCGGGCUCAACAUGGGAACUGCAUUCGAAACUGGCAGGCUAGAGUCUUGUAGAGGGGGGUAGAAUUCCAGGUGUAGCGGUGAAAAUGCGUAGAGAUCUGGAGGAAUACCGGUGGCGAAGGCGGCCCCCUGGACAAAGACUGACGCUCAGGUGCGAAAGCGUGGGGAGCAAACAGGAUUAGAUACCCUGGUAGUCCACGCCGUAAACGAUGUCGAUUUGGAGGUUGUGCCCUUGAGGCGUGGCUUCCGGAGCUAACGCGUUAAAUCGACCGCCUGGGGAGUACGGCCGCAAGGUUAAAACUCAAAUGAAUUGACGGGGGCCCGCACAAGCGGUGGAGCAUGUGGUUUAAUUCGAUGCAACGCGAAGAACCUUACCUGGUCUUGACAUCCACAGAACUUUCCAGAGAUGGAUUGGUGCCUUCGGGAACUGUGAGACAGGUGCUGCAUGGCUGUCGUCAGCUCGUGUUGUGAAAUGUUGGGUUAAGUCCCGCAACGAGCGCAACCCUUAUCCUUUGUUGCCAGCGGUUAGGCCGGGAACUCAAAGGAGACUGCCAGUGAUAAACUGGAGGAAGGUGGGGAUGACGUCAAGUCAUCAUGGCCCUUACGACCAGGGCUACACACGUGCUACAAUGGCAUAUACAAAGAGAAGCGACCUCGCGAGAGCAAGCGGACCUCAUAAAGUAUGUCGUAGUCCGGAUUGGAGUCUGCAACUCGACUCCAUGAAGUCGGAAUCGCUAGUAAUCGUAGAUCAGAAUGCUACGGUGAAUACGUUCCCGGGCCUUGUACACACCGCCCGUCACACCAUGGGAGUGGGUUGCAAAAGAAGUAGGUAGCUUAACCUUCGGGAGGGCGCUACCACUUGAUCUACUG
rnacentral:rRNA from 1 species